rnacentral:tRNA from 1 species
AGUCAAUUUAGUUUAAAUAAAAUAUUAUUUUGUGGGAAUAGGGAAAUCGGUAGUUAAUUGAUUU